UACGGGGGGUGCGAGCGUUGUCCGGAAUCACUGGGCGUAAAGGGCGUGUAGGCGGCUUCGCAGGUCUGUGGUGAAAGGAUACAGCUCAACUGUAUUGAGCCGCGGAAACGGUGGAGCUUGAGGCUGGGAGGGGCUGGUGGAAUUCCCUGUGUAGCGGUGAAAUGCGUAGAGAUGGGGGAGAACACUCGUGGCGAAGGCGGCCAGCUAGACCAGUUCUGACGCUGAGACGCGAAAGCGUGGGGAGCAAACAGG
rnacentral:rRNA from 1 species